rnacentral:pre_miRNA from 7 species
UUCUCUGGUUUUGAAAGACCCUAGUGGGGAGAUCCCCACUUAAGUCCCGAGAUGGCGCGCACACCCAAGGAAUCACGAAAGACC